rnacentral:tRNA from 1 species
UUUCUAUCAGCAGGGUCCUGUUCGCUACUUCUACUGCUCAAGGAAGGUGCAUCAGACUUAUGCUGCUGAGGGACUCUCUGACCCCAGAAUGCCCUUUGAACAAUUUGCCAUGUCAGAGUUUUUCCAGAGGGAGUUGGAGGCCACCAAAAAGCGUGCGGAGGAAAAAGCUCGGAGACAGAGACUUGGCUCUCAGCCACCUGAUCGCCUCUGCAGGUUCUGCCAUUUGACUCUAAAACAGGGACCAAACAGCCCGCAUAUACAUACAGGGUUCCCUGGAGUGGCAGGUAAAUACAUUUACUGCCCAUCCAAAGUCUAUUCUCUAUAUCGGGACAAGGGGAUGGCCCGAGAGAGGACUUGGAAAGAGUUUGUGGCCACUCCUUUCUUUGAGGCAGAGAGACGAAGAUGGAUAGAGGAAAGGACAAAAUGAACUACAUGCCAGGAAUGCAUGUUGCAUGACUGUACAUAGUUAUGAAAUGUAAUGUUGCACUAUUGUACAUAGUUUGAGAUUUAAUGUUGCACUGAGAUUUAAUGAACCGACUUGCAUACAGCCUUCUUGUAAGUCAAUAAUGCAGGCAGAAGAUUGGUAAAGCACUCCAGGCAUGUCCAAACUCAAUCCUCGAGGGCCACAAUCCAGCCGGGUUUUCUAUCCCACUGAAUGCAUUUUUAGCCUGGUACGACAGAAAACCCAGCUGGAUUGUGGCCCUUGAGCACUGGGUUUAGACAUGCCUGGUUCAAAGCCUGACAAAAAAGGACAUUAAAGGCACAACAACAAAGACUAAAACUCAAGUCCUAAACAUAAAUCCUAAUAUACUAAAACUAUCUACUUAUGCUCGUGAAACAGCACAACAUAACAGAAUAACAUAACAGAAGCUGCUAAAGUGAUCUACAUUUUAAACAAAAGGAAGAACAGGAAGACCAAUGGAGAAGAUACAGGAGGAGAACAAAAAGCUGCUGAGGUCAGUGACAGAGCUUCAACAUGAAGUCAGGCAGCUAAAAGAACAGCUGGUUGAGAAGAACGAGCAGUUGAGCCGGAGCACCAAAAGGCGCCAGAUAAAAACAGUGGCUCAUGUGGACACCCUGAACCAGCUGAACCAGGCAAGGGCUGAUCUCACAGUGAGCCAAGAGAAGUGCACUUAUCUGGAGGAGAAGUUGCAGAAAGGUACCAAUCACAGCCACCAGAGUCCGGAGCACGGAGACCACGUCAGAGGACAACAGCCUGAGGAAGUGGCGACGUGUAUCAUAGAGCUCUCCAAGAAAGAAGAGGCUCUGAAACUGCAGUUCUUCCAAAAAGAACAGCAGAUGGAGGCGUGGAUGAGGCAGAGGCUCAUUAGCAUGCAGGAAGAAUUUCAUAAGAAGCUCUUGGAGGAGAGAGAGAAGAACCAACAUGAGAUGACUGAGAGAGAGGAGAGACUGAGACAGCAGCUUGAGAGAGGGAUGAGGGAAGAGAGGGACGUCUGCUUGAAGAAGCAGCUGUCCACGCUCAUUGAGUCCUGGCAGACCGAAGCUCAGCAAUGGAAAAAACACCAGUUAGAGCUGCAGGAGAAACUCCAGGAACGAGAGAGCCUGCGAAAACAGCAAGAGGAGGAAAGAAAGCAGGAAACCGAACGCUUCCAAGAGCAAUUCCAGCAGCUUUGGAACUACAUUGUAAAAAAGGAGAAGAAGAAGAAGAAGAAAGGGGUCUGGAGCAGGAUUCUAAAAUUUUGGAAAAAGUGAACUCCAACACCUUUCCUUGCUUCCUUUUCAACUUGUCACAGCUCCCUCCACCCGUUUCCCUCCUGCCCUCAGUAGUUUUCCACUCUACCUGUCAGCCACUCCCACCUCAUCGGGCCAACUCCACUCACCUGUCGGCUCCGCUGCAGCUCAUCCCAGACCCUGCCUGUCUUCAUUCUGCCUGCCUCGCCUGUUCCCCAGAAAACCUGCCUUUCUGUCUCCGACCACGCACUCUGCCUCCGUGGCUCCAGCUAUAAUCUGCUUCCCCGGCUUCGACUCCUCUGCCUGGCCUCGACUCGUCUGCCGCUCGCCCCUCAUCGGUACCUCUGCCUUGCCGCCCGGCUCUGGACCCCUCCCCUCGGCCGUUCCACCAAGAGUAAACCCAUUCUCAUCCCCUAAUCCUAAACCCAGAGACUCCUUUUGGGCCACUGGUCUGAAGACUGUUUCGUAAAAUCGCGGGGCUUCAUAAAUGCAGAAGUUGUCCUGGAAAAAAUGUUCUAUGUAUCUAAUGGAUGUUAGUUUUUGGGGAUUUAUUUAUGCUGAAGUAAUUCACAACAUAAGUGUGGGAUCCUAAAAUGAGCUUUUCCGUUAAUAUAGUAAUUCAAUAAUUUCAGACUGCUCAAAUGAUUUGCAUCUUUAUUUAAAAAUGUAAAAAAUGCAAACACUCUUUGAAUCCAGCAGAAGAUGUAGGUGUUCACACCCCCAUGUGUAUCUGCUUUCAUUUAUUUUAUGCAUUCUGUCAUUUUUGCCAUUAUCUGUUAUAAUUAAAAUACAUUGAUAUUUUAUUGUGCUAGCCAUUUUACCAUUCAAUCAGUGCAUCCUUUUAAGUCCAUCUCCAGCAAAAUAAACAAUUACCACAGAGAUUUGACUGAACAUUGAAGGGAAAAAAAGGUCACAUGAUCCUAAUUUUAAAAAUAUUCCACUAAACAACUUAAAUGGUUGCCCCCAUGGUUGUUUUUAAGCUUACUAUAGAUACGCUGAUCGGUACUGCAUUACAGUUUAUUCUUGUACUCAAGAUUUGUUGCACUCUACAGCGUUUAAUGUAUACAGGAUAAAGGUAGAGACUACACUGUAGUAAAUGCAUGAUGACAUCACACUGUGAAAUCUCUGGUGUGGACGUUCCAUUGUUCCCCUGCAGGUUCCCCCUCAGACACAGAAAACUGUCCCAAGGAGGACAGAGGCAACACCCAUCAGGCAGCUGAUCUUCAAACCAACCAUCAGAAAAUAACACUGCAGUAGACGACUGUUCAACAUACGAUCUCUGAAAAAGAUGAAAUACUGUCCACUGUGCCAACAAUUACUCAAGGUCUUCACACACCUGCAGAAACAACCAGAGGAUGAGGACAUCUUUGGAGACAUGGCAGAUUGUAGUUGACUAUAGAAUAAUGUAAAAUAACAGCUUAUGUAUGCACAGUAACUUUGGUAAAGACGUGUUUUUCCAUGGAAAUUAACAUGAACUAAUGUCAUUCUCAUGAGUGAAUCAGAAAUUUAAACUGGACAUUAAAACUUAAACGUUGUUAACCUUCGCAAGCGAGGGAGAGAGAGAGAGAGAAGCAGUGUCGCUGAGCCCAAACGGUGAAAAGGCGCCUUUUAGCGGCCUAAAAUAUAUUACAUCCGUAGUGGUUUAGCACUACCAUCGAGAAUGAAUGGGGAAGAAUACCCCCCCCCCCAACCCGAAAAAAGCUAUAGAGGGUUCUCACAUUAUCAAAUUUAAAAAAAACAUAAGAAUAAGAUAAAAACAAUUUGCAUUGGCCGGGAAUCGAACCCGGGCCUCCCGCGUGGCAGGCGAGAAUUCUACCACUGAACCACCAAUGCAUAAAUAGGCCAAAAAAACUGAUAUUUUUAAAGAAACUUACCUUAAUACUUAACCAAACUUAAUUUAAUUCUAAACUAUAAACGAGGAUAAAAGCGUUCCAAACAAUGGCGUCUCUUGAAUAACUAUACUGCCAUCUAGUGGUCAAAUACAGGUAUUUACACGCAUAAAUUAACACGCACUUCACGUGGUAAUUAACGAUAUAAAGCUUGGACAGAAAUCGUCACACAUUUAACAGCUUAAAUACGACCACAAUAACGUCGGGUAUAAUAAAGAUAAUAAUAAAUAUAAUGAUAAAAUAUAAUAAAGGGUAUAAUGCUCAGAACAACCAUCGCAAUGCAACCACCCAAUUAACAAACAGAAACCCAACUACCAAACAUAACAACAUAAAGCAAUAGCCACUCACCAAACUAUAAACACGACAUAAACAAUAGUCAGGAAAAUCACUUAAAAUUCACAGUUCCGUCCUAACUUCAACUGGGCCGUCUCUUCAGGCGAUGAAGACAACUGGCUCCACUCUGACGCGCUCCCAAUUAACGCUGACCAGUGUGGUGAGCUCAGCGCACCUACCUGCGCAUGCGCUCAGGCUGUGACUCUUGCCAAUAAUAGCGCCUCCAUUUCCCCUGUGCAAGCUGACAACUAUUUAUCAGCCCUCUUCCCCAAUAAAACACCAAACUCUGGAACAAAGAAUAAUAACUAACGCUGUAUGCUUGUGCAAAUUGUGAAUUGAGAACAAAAUUCCCAUCUUUCCCUUUAUUUAAUAAGAAGUCUACUGUAGUAUCAGGAAGGUUAAAGUACAACAGGCCAGAAAGCUCCCGUCUGGCUUUGAUGAUAUUUUGAGAGUUCCGUCCG